GGGUUUUUUUGGGGUUUCUUUGGGAUUUCUUUGGAAUUUUUUUGGGAUUUUUUUGGGAUUUUUUUUGAAUUAUUUUUAAAUUUUUUGGGGAUUUUUUGGGGGAUUUUUUGGGAUUUUUUGGGGAUUUUUUUGGGAUUUUUUUUAGAUUUCUUUGGGAUUUUUUGGGAUUUUUUUCAGGAUUUUUUGGAAUUUUUUUGGGGAUUUUUUGGGAUUUUUUGGGGUUUUUUGGGGAUUUUAUUUUGGAUUUUUUUGGGAUUUUUUGGGGGAUUUUUUGAGGAUUUUUUGGGAUUUCUUUGGGAUCUUUUUGGGAUUUUUUUUUUAUUUUUUUUGAAUUUUUGGGGGAUUUUUCGGGGAUUUUUUUGGGGAUUUUUUGAGGAUUUUUUGGGGAUUUUUUUGGGGAUUUUUUGGUGGAUUUUGGGGUGAGGAAAUGAGGAUUUUGGAGUGUGGGGGAGGGGCCAGGUGUGUCCAGGUGUGUCCCCAGGUGUGUCCAGGUGUCCCCAGGUGCGUUCCAGACCAGGUUCCAGAACGUUCUAGAGGUUCUAGACUCGGUUCUAGAUCGGGUUCUAGAUCGGGUUCUAGAACGUUCUAGGUACGUUCCAGAUCAGGUUCUAGAACGUUCUAGAUCGGGUUCUAGGUGUGCUCUAGGUACGUUCUAGAGGUUCUAGAUCACGUUCUAGAACGUUCUAGACUCGGUUCUAGACUCGGUUCUCGAUCGGGUUCCGGACUGUUCCAGAACCGGUUCCAGACUGGGUUCCAGAGCAGGUUCCAGACUGGGUCCCCAGGUGUGUCCAGGUGUGUCCCAGGUGUCCCCAGGUGUGUCCAGGUGUCCCCAGGUGUGUUCAGGUGUUCUCCAGGUGUGUUCAGGUGUGUCCAGGUGUUCUCCAGGUGUAUCUCAGGUGUAUUUUAGGUGUCCCCAGCUGUUCUAGGUGUAUCUCAGGUGUCCCCAGGUGUAUCUCAGGUGUAUCUCAGGUGUCCCCAGGUGUAUCUCAGGUGUGUCCCCAGCUGUCCCCAGCUGUGUCCCAGGUGUGUCCCCAGCCCCCCCAGGUGUGUCCAGGUGUGUCCAGGUGUCCCCAGGUGUAUCUGAGGUGUCCCCAGGUGUGUCCCCAGGUGUUCCAGGUGUGUCCCCAGCUGUGUCAGGUGUAUCCAGGUGUAUCUCAGGUGUCCCCAGCUGUUCCAGGUGUCCCCAGGUGUGUCCCAGGUGUAUCUCAGGUGUAUCUCAGGUGUAUCCAGGUGUCCCCAGGUGUAUCUCAGGUGUGUCCCCAGCUGUCCCCAGGUGUCCCCAGGUGUCCCCAGGUGUCCCAGGUGUCCCCUGUCCCCGCAGGAAGAUCCAGGAGGAAUCUCUCCGCACGUACCUGUUCACCUACAGCAGCGUCUACGACUCCAUCAGGUGGAUUUGGGCUGAAAAACGGGGA
rnacentral:lncRNA from 1 species